UACGUAGGGUGCGAGCGUUAAUCGGAAUUACUGGGCGUAAAGCGUGCGCAGGCGGUUCUCCAAGUCCGUUGUGAAAGCCCCGGGCUCAACCUGGGAAUUGCAUUUGAGACUGCGUAGCUAGGGUGCGGAAGAGGGAAGCGGAAUUUCCGGUGUAGCGGUGAAAUGCGUAGAUAUCGGAAGGAACACCAGUGGCGAAAGCGGCUUCCUGGUCCAGCACCGACGUUCAGGCACGAAAGCGUGGGGAGCAAACAGG
rnacentral:rRNA from 1 species